CAUCUGGGGAGGUCUCAAGGUAGAGACAGUGCUGUGGUUGACCUUGAAGGACACGUGGGCCCUGUGACCAGACAGGGGAGGAGCAACUGGAAAUAUUAUGACAACUGGAUCUUUUUCAUUCUAAAUAAGAAGACAAGAAGGACCACCCAAGAGUAACAGGAACAAUUAAUCAAUUUAAUUAUCAGCAGUAAAUUACCAGUAAUUCUCUUGGUAACAUUAUGUGUUAGUAUGAUUAAAGUAAAUAUAAGAAUAGAUUUUUUUUUCCUUUUUGGCAGGGCAUGGUAGGGUGAUGAUGGUUGGAGUCGGAGAGUUGAUUUUCAAAACAAAAAAGAUUCCAAUAAACCCAGGAGAGUCAAAUCUCAGACAUGUCUCCAAGCAUGAGGUGUUGAACUUGGUACCUGAUGGCUUUCCUUCCCUAGAGCUGAUGUAACAAAUCUGUGGCUUAAAAACAACAGAAAUUUCUUUUCUCACAGUUUUGGAGACCAAAGUGUGAAUUCAAGGUGUUUCUGCACCACAUUCUUCUCCCUGAAGUCCUUCAAGGGAGAAUCCUUCCUUGUCUCUUUCAGUUCCCAGUAAUUCCAGACAUUCCUUGGCUGAAGGCUGCAUAAUCCUAAUCUCUGCCUCCAUGUCUACAUGGCUGUCUGACCUGUGUGUCUCAGUGUCUGAACUCUCCCUCUGCCUUUUUCUUAUAAGGACAUCUGCCACUGGAUUUAGAGCCCACGUUAAGUCCAGGAUGAUUUCUGAGCUCCUUAGCUUAAUUCAAUCUCCUUAGCUUAAUUCAAUUUGGAUCUUAUUUGUCCAAAUAAGGUCACAGUCACAGGUUCAAGGGAUUAAGACACAGGAGUAUCAUUUGAGGGGCCACAAUUUCAACCCACAACGCUGAAGAUGCAUUCUUUGCUGGCAUGAGAAUGUGCCCCUGGAUGUUCAAUAAUCUUUGUUGAUGGACUAGCAGCCUUUUAAACAGUAGAGGAGGGUUUGACCGGAUUCAGUGAGAGGAGACUGGAGGGUGUAGCAAGUCUCUGUAAGUAAACUGCACUUGGAACAAAAGAGGUUAUGUAAUUUACUGGAUGGAUAGAUUAAAUUCAUUUUACUAAGCACAGUAUAUUCUGAAACCCUGUCAAAAGCUUUCCUGAUAGACUCUGAGGCUGGGAAUCCAAGAUCCCUGUGAAAGUCAUCCAUGUGAUAUUUUGUUGUUCAUAACAAGCUUUGUUGUUUCUUCUUGUCGUCGUUGUUGUUUUUUCCUUUAAAAAUAGAAAACUUCGAAU
rnacentral:lncRNA from 1 species